rnacentral:lncRNA from 1 species
AGGUCACAAGAUUGCGCCAACCCUUACAUGGUCCUUAAAAAAAAAACCUUCUGACACUGCAGUAGUGAAAAUGAAGCGCACGAUGGGCGGAAGCUAGGAAGACAAACAUAAAGAUGAAGUGCUUAAUUCAAGGUCACACAAUGUCGGGGAUGGACCUCCAGAUUUCCUUACUGACCUGCAUUAUCUUGUGGAUACCUGAGUGAAUUCCACACCACCCAUUUUAUAGAUGAAACCACUGAGACAUGGAGCAAUUGACUGAGUAGUCACUGCCCCACCCCUGCCUGGAGCCUCACACAUGACUCGCCUCCUCUCAGUGACCACAGGUUGGUUGAGGGGUUUAACAAGGCUAAGAAGGUGAGACGUGGUCUUGUAACACAGUGGUUAAGAAUGUGACUUUGGAGCCAGCCUGCUAGGGGCUGAAUUCUGACUCAGCCAUUUACUAACUGUGUGACCUUAGGUAAGUCAUUUACCUUCUUUGUCCCUCAGUUUCAUCUCGGUUAAGUAGGGAUAAUGAUAGCACCUAUUUUAUAGGGUUAUUGUGAGGAAUAAAUCCAAGUAAAAUGCUUAGAAUAGUAACUGAAACAUAGCACUCAUUAGGAAUGCUUUAAUUUUCAUUUAUUUGAGUAUUAAAG